AGUAAGUGCCUGAUUAAAAGGAUUAUCUUGAUAGGAUAAAAUAUGUAACGCUAUUUACCUUACUU
rnacentral:tRNA from 1 species